GAAACCUCCUGUGAUCUGGCUGUGACGGCUGUCACCCCGUUGAUUCGGCUGAUCUGGCUGGCUAAGCGGUGUCCUCUUCCUCCUCACCACUCCAUGUGCAUCCCUCCUGAAGCUGUGUGCUCGGGUGAAGAAUGACCUUCCCCGAUAGAAGGAGGGCUGUCCUUCGGUCAAGAGUAUCUGAGUCGCUGCACUCCCCUGCUAGAACCUCCAAAUAAGCCUCAAAAAACAAACCAGCUCUUUUAAAAGAUGCUCCUUAAAAAAAAAUCAUCUCUAUGGAACUAAAUGGUGAACAAUCAU
rnacentral:snRNA from 1 species